GUGCUCACUUUGACAGCACAAAUAAUAAUAUUGGAACAAUACAGAGAAGAUCAGCAUGGCCCCUGCACAAGGAUGACAUGCAAAUUCAUGAAGCAAUAAAACUUGAA